rnacentral:rRNA from 1 species
UACGAAGGGGGCUAGCGUUGCUCGGAAUCACUGGGCGUAAAGCGCACGUAGGCGGAUUCUUAAGUCGGGGGUGAAAUCCUGGAGCUCAACUCCAGAACUGCCUUCGAUACUGAGGAUCUCGAGUCCGGGAGAGGUGAGUGGAACUGCGAGUGUAGAGGUGAAAUUCGUAGAUAUUCGCAAGAACACCAGUGGCGAAGGCGGCUCACUGGCCCGGUACUGACGCUGAGGUGCGAAAGCGUGGGGAGCAAACAGG